GAUGAAGAACGCAGCGAAAUGCGAUAAGUAGUGUGAAUUGCAGAAUUCAGUGAAUCAUCGAAUCUUUGAACGCACAUUGCGCCCCUUGGUAUUCCAUGGGGCAUGCCUGUUCGAGCGUCAUUUGUACCUUCAAGCUUUGCUUGGUGUUGGGUGUUUGUCUCGCCUUUGCGUGUAGACUCGCCUUAAAAUAAUUGGCAGCCGGCGUAUUGAUUUCGGAGCGCAGUACAUCUCGCGCUUUGCACUCAGAACGACAGCGUCCAAAAGUACAUUUUACACUCUUGACCUCGGAUCAGGUAGGGAUACCCGCUGAACUUAAGCAUAUCAAUAAGCGGAGGA
rnacentral:misc_RNA from 1 species